CCCCCCCAGCAAGUUUGCUCCGAAGCCUCACAAACUUGGUUCUGGAAGAAUAUGCGCGCAAAGUAUUUCACGGGUUGGGGGCCGAUUUCCAAGGCGCAACUCCUUCCUAGCCCGGGUGCGCUGUCCAUGUAGUUUGCCAGCCCGCUACAACGGAGGUCUCCCAGCUCCACUCUCAGUAGGACUCUGACGGCCACCAGGGCUGCCUGCUCCGGGAUCAAAGGAAGGGCGGGGCCGUGUGAACGCUCGCGCCGACGCCGCCCGUGCUCUCCGGGUGUGGAAGGGCACCUCGGCGAGCAGCUUCCCCCGAGCAGAGGCCUGGGAGGGGAGUCUCGGCCAGCGUCGGUGUUUUGGGUCGCGGAGCGUCUGUAUUUACACAGGCAGCCAGGCUGCGCCUCGGCCGCCCGCUCUCUCCGCAGGAGGCACCCGGAGAACCCGCAGCGAGCUCCGGCUUGGAGACAGACCCCGCACCAGCCCCCGCGUUCACGGCCGGCGGAGACGGAGGGCGACGCUGGAGUCGCAACAGAUAUCUAAAAUCCUGUGCCAGAUUCUGCAGUUGUUCUGUGCAUGGACCUCCUGUUUGAGGCACUGGGAUCAGGAUACCUGGGAAACAGGUGUCUUCCUGAAUUGGGGCCUUAGGACUGUAUGAGACUUCCACAGAGAAAACUGUGCUUCUGUAGCCAUGUCGACUUCUCUGGAAAAGUGAAUGUAGUGUACGUCAUGAGAAUGUGACACACGGAAGAGCUGAGCAUGAAGGCAAUACUUAGAAGAAAGAGAACUCUACCCUGGGAAGCAGUGACUCCACAAAUGAUUUGAGGGCCGUGGUGGAUAAGCAGCUGAACGUGUGCUCUGAGUGCAAUGCUGUGGCCAAAAGACACAAGUUUGAAGGCACCAAUUCUAUUAUAAAGGGCUCUCAAGCACUUACUAUUAAACCCAACAAGUUACUGAAGAAACUCACUGUCUUUUCCAGUGGAAACUGGACCUAUAUACAGAUUCUGCUAAUUCUGAAAGACCACACCUCCCUCCAUGUAGCCUUGCCAUAGAAGAGGAGAAAAAAGUAGAAAAAGAAGGAUAAAGGAUCUAAUGUGGCUGGCCACAUCCGCCCAUUCUUUUGUCAGCCUUUUCCUUGUACAAUUACUUUGUGGUUUGUUGGUGGAAAAAAAAAUCUUGUAUUUCAAGUGUCUAAAUUUUUCUUUCUUGAAAAUUCCUCCAAUCUUUCAAAAUGAAAAUGAAUGCUUUAUUUACUGUGUCACAACCGGGCCCUCUCUCUGGAUGGACACCAGUCUCUUGUGAGUGGGCCUAACCAGUAGAUUUCAUGUGCUUUUAUGCCUCCUGGCUCUGGACAGAGUCUGAUCACUGGUCCUGGCUCAGGGGUGGGGGGUGGACUCAAGUGCACUCCUAGGGGCAAAUCCCAUAUCUAACACCUUUCUUGGUCAGCGGGACCUUGCAGUCUAGCUUUCAGCCCCCUGAAACUAGUACCUGAUCCAUCCUGAUCUCAGGUGUUUAGAUAUGUUCCUCCAGAAUCCACCUGGUCAUGGGAAUUCUGGUUUCUUGAUUAAUUCCUCCAGACAUACUGUGUCAAGAAAGCCAGGAACACAGGCUUAGCAUAGGAUGGGCUGGUAAGAUGACAGAGAAUCAGAAUUGAUGGCCCUAGAUUGCUCAGUGCCAGUUUCUGAGACGUAGCCAUAAGACAGGCCUCCCUCCCCCCCAACUACAAAAUGGAAACUCUAACCCCCAUGGAGGCUACAAUACAACAUGAGGGACACGCUCCAACAUGAAGAUUCCAAUACAAUGUGGAGACCUCUGAAAAAAAUGGCAUUCCCAAAACAAGAUGGAGUUUACUGCGUGACACAGAUGUAUUCCCAAUAAUUCUGACUGGUCAUCUAAAAUAUACAUUGGUCAGACCCAGAGAUGUCAGGAGUUUAAAGUUCUUCUAAUCAUGCUAGAGACAGUGUUGCCCGCAAGGUGCAUCAGGGUCAGUUCCAAUAACUUUGUAUUACACAAGAGAAGUUUCUCUAUUCAGUGUUUCACCACUUCAGCUUGACCAUGAAUGGGGUUUGACCCCUAGACCUUCGAUGCAGAAAGUACAAAUCUCCAUCUCUUGAGCCAAAGGACUAGGUCCUCUAGCUGCCAGCUGUUGCUUAAAAAAACCCAAUCCAAAAGGAUUUUUUUUCAAAAUUUUCAUGGAAAUUUUCCUCUUUUCCAUGGGAAAAAAAAUGAAAAAGGAAACUAAAUAAAAAUUUUCAUUUAAUUCCAAAGAAGAAUUUAUAUUUUGUUUGGAUUCCAGAAAAGAUUUCAAUUUUCAUAUUUUCCUUCCUUCCCUCGCCUCUUCUUGUUUUACCUGCCCCUCUUUUUCCAUGGGAGGUGGGGGGAAAUUUGUAAAGGGAGAGAAAGGGGAAAAAAUAAGAAU